ensembl:lncRNA
AUGGGGGGGGGCUGCCCUGCAAUCCUGCUUCAAAUGCCCACCUGCCCAAGGCUGCAGUUCGGCCCUGAAAUGGGGGAAUUGCUCCAAGUUAGAGGAAAACUCUUAGAACAACUUGCGAAAACUGAAGGUUUCUGUAGGGCGAUGCUGCCCCACUGGACCACAAGGAGGCAGCAUGUGGCCAAUGUUUCAGUGGGGAAAAGCUCUGGCGAGAUUUCUCCUGACUGCAGGGGAAAAUCUGGGGCGGGAGCGUGUGUCCCUUUCGCCACAGACGCCUGGAGACGGGAGGGCGUAACUUGGUGCUUGAGUUCAAGCCAUCUUCUCUGCAUCAGCUCCAGAUCUCAAGUGCUUCCCUGCUUCUCUGCCUCUUGCCAGGUCGUCCCUGGGUCUGGGCAUCAUCUCUGCCGUGGGGUGUGUGUUUGGAGCCUACCUGAUGGUGCUGGCGGCCCUCAGCCCCUGCCCUCCCCUGGUGGGCAGCCCUGCAGGAGUUGCGCUGGUGGUGAUCUCCUGGAUCCUCUUCAUGGGCCUCUUCUCCUACCUGAAGGUGGUGAUCGGCAGCUUGCUGCACGAGGCCGGCCACGCCGCCCUGGUCUGGUGUGGCGCCAUCAUCCAGGCGGGCUCUCUGCUGGGCGCGCUCGUCAUGUUCCCCCUCGCCAGCAUCUACAGGCUCUUCUCGAGUGGGCAGGACUGUGUGGACAACUGCAGGCCGUGACGGCCGGUGCCGGCAAGGAGGAGCCGCAGGAGGCCAUGCUUCUGAGGAGCCACCCUCUGGCGCCCCUCUCCAGGGCUGUCAGCACUUGGGGGGCGCAGUCCUGGCUGCUCUUCCUGGCUCCCCUCCAGCACUGCCAGUUGAACCAUCUCAUGCUCUUGCCCCCCAGGCAGAGGAGAGAAGCUUAGGGGCAAAGCACACAGACCCCCAGCCCACCUUGCUUGGUCGCAGCCUCUCUCUCCUCUGCUCUCCGUGGGUUAGUUAGAGCCAUCUUGGGGCAACAGGUAGCAGCUUCUGGUUUGGAGGGGCUGCAUGGCCACGUGCUUAGGAGGGAGGGGUGCUGCUGCAGACACAGAGGCCUUAACCACCAUGCCUUAAGAACCAACCUCUCGCACCCCCCCCUUGGGACCAGAGCACUUCACCCCCCCCCCCACAUACUGACUCCUCCCUAGUGGUGAUCCAGGCCCCUUUAACCUCUCGGGAAUGGUGUCUUCAGAGGGGACAACUGGCUGCCAUGGGGGGAGGUAGGCUGCAUUGCAGAAGUGGGGAGAGGGAGGGGCACCCCCCUGUGACUGGCGACUGGCUUCAGGGAGCAAGUGCGGGGAGUCAGGAAUACUUUUAUUUUUUAUAAUGGGCUCACUACAGUUCCAUUGGCUUUUUAAAACAAAACACCCACCCACCCCCUAAUAGAAAUAAAUUAGGUAACCUGGAGGCGUUUUACAUACCUUGCAUUCUGUGCAAAAUCUGCACAAUUGCUGUUGAGGUUUUACACUAAACUGGGGGUGGUUUGUAGUGGCAAGAGUGUUGGACCUGGGAGCUUGUCCCCGCUCAGCCCUGAAGCUCUUACGGAGCGGCCUUGGAGUCAGUCCCUGCCUCUCAGCCUAGCCUUCCUUCCAGGGUUGUUGUGAGGAUAAAAUGGGGAGAAGAAUCCGCACUACCUGGAGCUCCUUGGGAGAAAAGGGGCAUAACUGUGAUGAAGCAAGAGGGACAGCUAAGAAAGGUCUGGGACUCGGGGGGGGGGAGCAGUAAGGUCCCAGGGUGGGGAACUAGAAUUUGCUGAAAGUGCGCCCCCCCCAGACCUGUUCUAUGUAAGUCUCAGCUGGAGGAGCUGGUCUUUUUUCAUACUUCCCUGUGACACUAGAGGGGCUAGACCAACAUGCGGCCCUUGAGGCAUUUUUUGUCCCCCGCCUACAGCCUUUGUGCCGCCUCCCCUAGGUGGGUAAGAGGUCCUGGGCUCUGGGAAGGUGGCGUGAGGCUCUGAGUGUCCUGACACCUCCUUCCCAGAGCCUAGUUAGCACUUUCCCAGCUUUGGGAAGAGCUGGAAGCGAUGGGAAGGGCAAAAGGGCCUCCUUGGUAGUUAUCAUCUCAUGAGAGGGCCAAGAAUAUGGCUGGACUCCUUGCGAUAGAUUGGUGCAAAGCCGUUUAGAGCAGUAUAAAUCAGGGUCGGCACCUUGAAUUGGGCUCCGUAGUGAAUGAGCAGCCGGUGCAAACUUUUCAAGACCAAUGCUCUAUGCUCUUCUUGGAAGUAAGUCCUAUUGCAUUUGGUGGGGCUUACUCCCAGGAAAGAGGGUUUAGGAUUGCUGCCUUGAACUGUAUUGGUCGGCUAGCGCCGCAACCCCAGAGUCGGCUAUGACUGGACCUAAUGGUCAGGGGUCCCUUUACCUUUUUAAGCCCUGGCCAGCCUGACAGUGGCUGUGGCGGGUCCUCUGUGGGGCUGCCCAGCAUAGCAGUUUGGGAAGUUCACCUGGCUCAGAAAACGCCAGCAGCCAGUUCGUUAAAUGGGGCUUCUCAACCUGGUGACUGUUUGCCAGUCCUUGGAAGAUCCGCCCCGGCUUCUGGCCACAACUGAAUGUGCUGGCUUAUUUAUUUAUUUAUUUCAACCGGAAGCCCUUAAAUGCAGGAAGGGCCCCCCCCACUCCCUGCCAGUUCCUUUUCUGGGGUCCUUCUUGGGUUCCCCCUCUGGCUGGAUGGAAGCCACUGUGGACGGGCCCCAGGCACACGCAGCCGCCAGUCACGGACGUGACUCUCUCAGGCAUCCGUUAAACCUUCAGUUGCCAAGCCCUGGGCAGCACUGAACCUCGAUUGUUCUUUCAAGGAUCAUCCAAAUGGCUAUCUUGUUGUAAUUGAUUGUUUCGUUCAUUGUAAGCUGGCUUGAGCGGGGCUGGGGACCAAAGACAAGAUAUAUUUUUACUCCUUUUUUUUGUAUUUUAUUUGCGAUAUUUUUAGGAUGUUCUAAAGCACUUAGAGAUCUUGGAAACCUGAAGCUUAUAUGUCUAUUUUGUAUGUGAUGCACUUCUUUUACGGAUGUAAUUUUACUGUUUUUCUUAUGCUGCACACUACUGGAAUAUAUUUUUCCCUUAAUGUUGAUGGAGUAAAAACUUUUGCAAAGAAAGUAUAAAUUGCCUAAAUGAGUAAUACAUUUUAAAUGAAUAAAAUGAAUCAGAGUCAGACUUUACCUGCUGGGUUGUCAUCAAUUCAUCAUGUCCCACAUAAAAUGGAGAAUACACAUCUCAGGGCAGAUAGGUGGUCUUCAGCAUUUGCCAAAACUAUAUAUUGACGCAUCUCUCUGGGGAGGGACUUCCACAACUUGGGGGCUGCCACAGAGAAGGCCCUCUUAGGCUGCCACCACCCCGGACUUCUGUGGGAGGUGGAACUGUCAAGACAGCCCCUUAUUCUGAUUUCUAAUACAGUGGUACCUCGCAAGACGAAUGCCUCGCAAGACAAAAAACCUGCUAGACGAAAGGGUUUUUUGUUUUUUGAGCUGCUUCGCAAGACGAUUUUCCCUGUGGGCUUGCUUCGCAAGACGGAAACGUCUUGCAAGUUUGUUUCCUUUUUCUUAACACCGUUAAUACAGUUGCGACUUGACUUCGAGGAGCAACUCAUAGCACGCGGUGUGGUAGCCUUUUUUGAGGUUUUUAAAGCUUUUUGAGGUUUUUGAAGCUUUUCCAAAACUUUUCCGACACCGUGCUUCGCAAGACGAAAAAAAUCGCAAGACGACAAAACUCGCAGAAUGAAUUAAUUUCGUCUUGCGAGGCACCACUGUACCCAAAAGUGUCUGAAGGAGGCAGCUCUUUAGGUAUUUGGGGCCCGAGUCAUUUAGGGCUUUAAGCACAAGCCCCUUGAACUGGGCCCAGAAACAAACUGGUAGCCAGUGGAGCUGUUUUGGAGAGGGGGGGGGCGUUAAUGGGAGUUCUGAAAGCAUCCCAGCCAGUGAUUUGGCCGCUGCAAUUGAGAGCAGCUGAACUUCCCCAGUCUGCCAGGACAGCCCUUCUGUCCUUCCUCCGUUGCGGACUCUGGCUGCAAGCCACCACAGUUAGCGGUACCAUCCCAUCAUCUGCCACAGAUUUGCAGUCCCUAAACUUUAAGAGCACAGGGCAAACACUCCGGAGCAGCAUUUUCCCAAUUUUCCUGCCAGGGGAAUGUUCAGCACCUGAUGAAGGUGUUAACGGAGAAAUCUGAGGGCUCCCUUGGACAAAAAACAAGGACACCAGCCAGGAA